rnacentral:rRNA from 1 species
UACGGAGGGUGCGAGCGUUGUCCGGAAUCACUGGGCGUAAAGGGCGCGUAGGCGGCCCGGCAAGUCAACGGUGAAAGCUUGGGGCUCAACCCCGAGUCGGCCGUCGAUACUUCCGGGCUGGAGCACUGUAGAGGCAGGUGGAAUUCCGGGUGUAGCGGUGGAAUGCGUAGAGAUCCGGAAGAACACCGGUGGCGAAGGCGGCCUGCUGGGCAGUAGCUGACGCUGAGGCGCGACAGCGUGGGGAGCAAACGGG